GGGAAACAAAGAUUCAAUAAAUGGAUCUAAUUAAUCUUUCGGGUUUUGGUUGAACCAAAAAGAAGCUAAUAUCAUCACAAGCCACCAUUGUACGGAUCCAUAACUCCAUUGCGAGUGAAUGUGAUGUCCAAACCAGUCGUUGUGUGAGGGGUUAUCUCAUUUUUACCAUUAAUGCUGCUCGGGGGCUGGUGCUGCCGGUUUGGAAUCCUC
rnacentral:misc_RNA from 1 species